UACGAAGGGUGCUAGCGUUGCUCGGAAUCACUGGGCGUAAAGCGCACGUAGGCGGACUCUUAAGUCGGUGGUGAAAUCCUGGAGCUCAACUCCAGAACUGCCUUCGAUACUGAGAGUCUCGAGUCCGGGAGAGGUGAGUGGAACUGCGAGUGUAGAGGUGAAAUUCGUAGAUAUUCGCAAGAACACCAGUGGCGAAGGCGGCUCACUGGCCCGGUACUGACGCUGAGGUGCGAAAGCGUGGGGAGCAAACAGG
rnacentral:rRNA from 1 species